rnacentral:pre_miRNA from 1 species
CGGCUGAAAUGCAAUGGCGGCAUAGCUCAGUCUUUUUUUUUUUAAAAAUACUGAGCUAUGCCGCCAUUGCAUUUCAGCCG